GAUUUUGGGGCUGUGUUUCACAUGAAAAGAAAUACCUCAAGGAUUCCUGACAUAAUUUAGGAAUAAACAAGUCUCUGCUAUGCAGAAGAUCAGGGUGUCAGAUCACCAAUGGAAACCAUGAUUACUAAUAAGUGUUCUGCUGCUUUGACAAGAUUCGAUGGAUAAAAGCCUGGACACAUCUAAGUUCUGUAGAAAUACUGUCACUAAUUUAAAGUAUGUAAUAACCUUGAAAUACUUUGUUUGCUUGAGGGAUCUAACUACAUAGUAGUAAUUCUGAAUUAUGAACUUGGAUUCUGAAUUAUUAUUUUUGAAAUGAAGGUGUAGUCAGGAGGUGAAAGCAGGGUUUUAUUCUGCAAACUGGGAAGCAGGAGGCUACAUUCAGCUGUACUGCUCACCGUGGUUUAUGAGUUGUAUGUGAUCCAGAAGACCUGUUCAGUGCAUCUGAGAUGGGAAGCGUGAAGUGCAGCAUCAGCAGAAGGCGGUACAUGAUUUUUGCAAUUUCUCUGGAAAUCCAGAACUUGACUGUUAUCUCAACAUAACAACAGUUCCCAAGCACAAUGGUACUGCAGGUACUCCAGGCUGGAAAUGUCUGCAGCCAAAUUUUCCAUUGCUCUUCCUGCCGAGGUGUGAUUGUACUUUUCCAGUCAGCAUAGACAAGGCUGGGUCUAUCUGUGCUGCAUAACUACUGUCUCUGGAAGGAAUAAGGACUCUGAUACUUUGGCAUUGUGCCACCCGCUGUAUGACCACCUGCUGAGAUGAGAUGAAGGAACAAAUCUCUGAAUUGUAUUUUAGGCCAUGGACUUUGACUUUACUGCCUGCAUAGAAUGUUAAUUUCACUUCUAUUAUCAAGCUACAGACAGGGAAGGAUGGGAGAGAUCAGAAAUUCCACCUGUACAAAAGGUUCUAACAUAGAGAACAGAAAAAGAGCAAGGAAAUGACUGAUCAAGCAGGAAUUUUACUUGACAGACACCAGUUAUCAUACAAAUAAAAGAAACCUGGGCAAAGAGACAACAUGUAACCACCUUAACUGUUCCCUCAUUUAUAAUACCUGCUCUCCAGACAAGAACAUCCAUUUCCUUAAUCUCUGGACACCCCCACUGACUUAGACUCUGUAACUUACAGCUUCUACUAGGUACAUCAAUAAUGGUGGAGGAUAUUCAGGAGAUUUAGAAGCACCUUUAAUGUAUGUAUUUCUAUUCUGUUAACUAGCAUACUAUCUAAGAGGUUGAGGCUCUGCAAUGCUAUUAGAGUGGUGAACUUCAUGCAGUAAAAUCCACGGUGCCAAGGAGGACUCCAGGUUCCCCAAAUAUGGCUUGUACCCCAAAAUCAGGUUUGUAGAAGAGGUUGUUUUGAGUAAUAAACCACAAAGGCCAUCCCAGUGAAA